UGAACGCUAGCGGCAGGCUUAAUACAUGCAAGUCGAACGGUAAGGUCUCGCUUGCGAGAUACACGAGUGGCGCACGGGUGAGUAACGCGUAUGCAACCUACCUUCAACUGGAGAAUAGCCCCGAGAAAUCGGGAUUAAUACUCCAUAAUAUCCAAGUUUCUCAUGAUUUUUGGAUUAAAGUUUCGACGGUUGAAGAUGGGCAUGCGUGACAUUAGUUUGUUGGUGAGGUAACGGCUCACCAAGACUACGAUGUCUAGGGGUUCUGAGAGGAUUGUCCCCCACACUGGUACUGAGACACGGACCAGACUCCUACGGGAGGCAGCAGUAAGGAAUAUUGGUCAAUGGACGAAAGUCUGAACCAGCCAUGCCGCGUGCAGGAUGACAGCCCUACGGGUUGUAAACUGCUUUUAUACGGGAAGAACUCCCUGUACGUGUACAGGGUUGACGGUACCGUACGAAUAAGGAUCGGCUAACUCC
rnacentral:rRNA from 1 species